rnacentral:rRNA from 1 species
UACGAAGGGUGCAAGCGUUAAUCGGAAUUACUGGGCGUAAAGGGCGCGUAGGUGGCCACUUCAAGCGUGCGGUGAAAGUCGGGGGCUCAACCCCUGAUCGGCCGUGCGAACUGGGGGGCUGGAGCACUGUAGAGGCAGGCGGAAUUCCGGGUGUAGCGGUGGAAUGCGUAGAGAUCCGGAAGAACACCGGUGGCGAAGGCGGAUCUCUGGGCCGAUACUGACGCUGAGGAGCGAAAGCGUGGGGAGCGAACAGG